rnacentral:rRNA from 1 species
AGCAGCCGCGGUAAUUCCAGCUCCAAUAGCGUAUAUUAAAGUUGUUGCAGUUAAAAGCUCGUAGUUGAAUUUCGGGAUCAAUUGAUCGGUCGUGCCUCUGGUACGCACUGGUUUUAUUGGUUUCUCCCUUCUGACGAACCAGGAUGUCAUUAAUUUGGUGUCUUGGAGAAUCAGGACUGUUACUUUGAAAAAUUAGAGUGUUUAAAGCAGGCUAACGCUUGAAUACAUUAGCAUGGAAUAAUGAAAUAGGACGUUUGAUUCUAUUUUGUUGGUUUCUAGGAUCGACGUAAUGAUUAAUAGGGAUAGUUGGGGGCAUUAGUAUUCAAUUGUCAGAGUGAAAUUCUUGGAUUUAUUGAAGACUA